rnacentral:rRNA from 1 species
AGACCCGAAACCCGGUGAUCUAGCCAUGGGCAGGUUGAAGGUUGGGUAACACUAACUGGAGGACCGAACCGACUAAUGUUGAAAAAUUAGCGGAUGACUUGUGGCUGGGGGUGAAAGGCCAAUCAAACCGGGAGAUAGCUGGUUCUCCCCGAAAGCUAUUUAGGUAGCGCCUCGUGAAUUCAUCUCCGGGGGUAGAGCACUGUUUCGGCAAGGGGGUCAUCCCGACUUACCAACCCGAUGCAAACUGCGAAUACCGGAGAAUGUUAUCACGGGAGACACACGGCGGGUGCUAACGUCCGUCGUGAAGAGGGAAACAACCCAGACCGCCAGCUAAGGUCCCAAAGUCAUGGUUAAGUGGGAAACGAUGUGGGAAGGCCCAGACAGCCAGGAUGUUGGCUUAGAAGCAGCCAUCAUUUAAAGAAAGCGUAAUAGCUCACUGGUCGAGUCGGCCUGCGCGGAAGAUGUAACGGGGCUAAACCAUGCACCGAAGCUGCGGCAGCGACACUGUGUGUUGUUGGGUAGGGGAGCGUUCUGUAAGCCUGUGAAGGUGUGCUGUGAGGCAUGCUGGAGGUAUCAGAAG